rnacentral:sRNA from 1 species
UCGAAGGGCUAUGCAGUGGACAGAACUUACAGGACCCAGCCUUUGAUUACUUGUGUUCUCCAACCGAUACCACAACCUCUUUCUUCUUGUUUCUAGCAGAAGCCUGCAGUUGUCAUUAAUCUUAAUACUGAGCUCCAGUCCAUAUUAUCCAAAUACUUUUGAAGGAAGGGAUGGCAGAGAGGGAGGGCCAUGUGGCAGGUGAGCCAGGCUGCACCGUGUCCACCAAUUUUCUCAGCUUCUCCUAUCUUACCUAACAUAGGCUUUUCUUUGUGGGCUCAAGAGAAGGCCAUCUCCCUGAUGCCAUCUGCAUGAUCCAUGUUGAGCGGUUCACACCAGUGCCUUCUCUGCUCUUCAAUGGUAUCAUGGCAUUGAUCUACUUGUGCGUGGAAGACAUCUUCCAGCUCAUUAACUACUACAGCUUCAGCUACUGGUUCUUUGUGGGGCUUUCUAUUGUGGGUCAGCUUUACCUGCGCUGGAAGGAGCCUGAUCGACCUCGUCCCCUCAAGCUCAGCGUUUUCUUCCCGAUUGUCUUCUGCCUCUGCACCAUCUUCCUGGUGGCUGUUCCACUUUACAGUGAUACUAUCAACUCCCUCAUCGGCAUUGCCAUUGCCCUCUCAGGCCUGCCCUUUUACUUCCUCAUCAUCAGAGUGCCAGAACAUAAGCGACCGCUUUACCUCCGAAGGAUCGUGGGGUCUGCCACAAGGUACCUCCAGGUCCUGUGUAUGUCAGUUGCUGCAGAAAUGGAUUUGGAAGAUGGAGGAGAGAUGCCCAAGCAACGGGAUCCCAAGUCUAACUAAACACCAUCUGGAAUCCUGAUGUGGAAAGCAGGGGUUU